rnacentral:lncRNA from 10 species
AGAUGACGUCACGCGGCCGCGGGCGCUCGCUUGUGACCAGAAGGCUGGAGUUACGUAAUCUGCCCCUACAGCUAAAAGGACGGAGGCCUGACGGCGUGGCCUGGAGGGACGCGCUGAGCCCCUAAUGGGUGGUGCCUUCCUGGUGCGGCCGCACAGGCGGGGCCGGGCGGAAUCCAAGCACGAUGUGGACACGGAGCCUUGGGAAUGAACAGGAGCCUGCCUGUGGGAGCAUGUGGGAAAGGUUCAACUCAGGAAUGUUUCUUGGGAGCCAUCUCCUUGAAGUGUAAUUGUUGGCUGGGUGCGGUGGCUCACGCCUGCAAUCCCAGCACUUUGGGAGGCUGAGGCGGGCGGAUCACAAGAUCAAGAGAUCGAGACCAUCCUGGCCAACAUGGUGAAACUCUGUCCCUACUAAAAAUACAAAAAUUAGCUGGGCAUGGUGAAGCGUGCCUGUAGUACCAGCUACUCGGGAGGCUGAGGCAGGAGAAUCGCUUGAACCCGGGAGGCGGAGGUUGCAGUGAGCCGACAUAGCACCACUGCACUCCAGCCUGGAGACAGAGCGAGACUCUGUCUCAAAAACAAAGAAAGAAAAAAAUGCAAUUGUUAAGGGACGAAAGGGCCAAGAGUCCAGCUUCUUAGGAGGACAAAGGCUUAACUUGGCACCUGACUCCAAAUUGCAAAACCUACAUAAUGUGAUGGGCUAUCUCUACUUAGCUGCAUAGAAAAAGUGAGUUUCUGUCUUUGUGUUGCCUUUAGCAGGUUGCAUGUGAUGUACGGCAUCACAAUCUGGUUUAAUACUUAUUCAGUAAUGGUUUUCUGUCUCUUCUACCUUUGUGGAGAGGUUUCAUGGGUUGGGAGGAAACUACUCUCCACCCCCCACCCACCCCCAGGCAGAGGAAAGCACAUUGAAAGGUCCUGAAAUUGGGAAGGACAUGGUUUGCUGGUGAUACAGCUAAGUAUUACAAGUUUGUAGUGUUCUGGAAGGGUCUCAAUGAGGAGCGGGAGAUAAGGACGAUGUGUUCAAGGGUCUUGAAUGAUCAGGCUAGAAAAGUGAGAACGUGGUUCUAUAAGUAAAAGCAGAGCAGUGCUUGAAACUCGUAUUUUAUGUAUUGCACCUAGUAAAUACAUUCAAUCACUUUACAGUAUACAAAUCCCAUACUUCACUAAGUGUCAAAACCCUAACAGACAGAUAAGGCAGAACUGUUACUUCCAGAUUACUAACGUGGAAACUAAGCCCCACCCAAACAAGUUAAGUGGUUUGUUCAAGACCUCCUACAACAGGCUGGGCGCGGUGGCUUAUGCCUGUCAUCCCAGCACUUUGGGAGGCCGAGGCGGGGAGGCGGGUGGAUCACCUGAGGUCAGGAAUUUGGGGCUAGCCUGACUGACAUGGAGAAACCCGGUCUCUACUAAAAAUACAAAAUGAGCCGGGCGUGGUGGUGCCUGCCUGUAAUCCCAGCUACUUGGGAGGCUGAGGCAGGAGAAUUGCUUGAACCCAGGGGGCGGAGGUUGCGGUGAGCCGAGAUCGCGCCAUUGCACUCUAGCCUGGACAACAAGAGUGAAACUCCAUCUCAAAAAAAAAAAAAAAAAAAAGGACCUCCUACAACAGCCAGGGCCUGGUGCAGGUUGUCCUAGCACAGGGUUCACUGGUCUGUCCAUUCUGCCACUGCUAUGAGAUUGUAAUGGCCCAACAGGUUCACCUUGCCUGCUGCCUAGGCAGAACCAAUUUAUCAAGACAGGUGAAUUGCAAUAGAGAAAGAAUAAUUCAUGCAGAGCCAGCUGUGUGGGAAACUGGGACUUUUUUUAUUACUCAAAUGAGUCUCCCCAAGCAUUUGGAGGUCACAGUUUUUAAGGAUAAUUUGGAGGGUGGGUGGCAUCCAGUGAGUCAGGAGUGCUGAUUGAUCGGGUCAGAGAUGAAAUCAUAGGGAAUUGAAGCUGUCUUGUGCUUGAGUCAGUUCCUGGGUGGGGGCCACAAGAUCUGAUGAGCCAGUUUAUCGAUCUGGGUGGUGCCAGCUGAUCCAUCCAGUGCGAGGUCUGCAAAAUAUCUCAAGCACUGAUCUUAGACUUCAGUGAUGUUAUUCCCGGGAGCAAUUUGGGGAGGGUCAGAAUCCUGUAGCCUCUAGCUGCAUGACUCCUAAAUCAUAAUUUCUAAUCUUUUGGCUAAUUUGUUACUCCUACAAAGGCAUUCUGGUCCCCAGGCAAGAUGGGGGUUUGUUUUGGGAAAGGGCUAUUAUUGUCUUUCUUUUAAACUAUAAACUAAGUUCCUCCCAAAGUUAGUUCAGCCUACACUCAGGAAUGAACAAGGACAGCUUGGAAGUUAGAAGCAAGAUGGAGUUGGUUCGGUCAGAUCUCUGUCACUGUCUCAGUUAUAAUUUUGCAAUGGUGGUUUCAAGAUGAUGAAAGAGUACUGGGAAAGUAAAUAGCUACGAAGGGCCAGAGAAGGUGUGUUACUGAAGAAAGUGGGAUCUCCCAAGGGACUCAAAGAGAAGAGCUUUUUAACACAGUGAUAACCCCAAAAAAUUCACUAGAGAAGUGGGGGAUGCGGCCAGUUUUGGGAAAAAGACCCGGAGAAGCACACAAAACAAGUUGCUGCCUUCUCCAUUGAUAAGGGUCUCUGGUGAUUUAGAGUCAACUUUCUCUUCCUGGUACAGAGAGGGAGACACCCUUACAAAGAGCGAUUUCUUUUAAGACUGUGAGUUUCUCUUUUUUUUUUUUUAGUAUUUAUUGAUCAUUCUUGGGUGUUUCUCAGAGAGGGGGAUUUGGCAGGGUCAUAGGACAAUAGUGGAGGGAAGGUCAGCAGAUAAACAUGUGAACAAGGGUCUCUGGUUUUCCUAGGCAGAGGACCCUGCGGCCUUCCGGUGUUUGUGUCCCUGGGUACUUGAGAUUAGGGAGUGGUGAUGACUCUUAACGAGCAUGCUGCCUUCAAGCAUCUGUUUAACAAAGCACAUCUUGCACCGCCCUUAAUCCAUUUAACCCUGAGUGGACACAGCACAUGUUUCAGAGAGCAUGGGGCUGAGGGUAAGGUUAUAGAUUAACAGCAUCCCAAGGCAGAAGAAUUUUUCUUAGUACAUAACAAAAUGGAGUCUCCUGUGUCUACUUCUCUCCACACAGACACAGCAACAAUCUGAUCUCUCCUUCCUUUCCCCACAUUUCCCCACUUUCUACUCGACAAAACCGCCAUCGUCAUCAUGGCCCGUUCUCAAUGAGCUGUUGGGCACACCUCCCAGACGGCCUGGCGGCCGGGCAGAGGGGCUCCUCACUUCCCAGACGGGGCGGCUGCCGGGCGGAGGGGCUCCUCACUUCUCAGACGGGGCGGCUGGGCAGAGACGCUCCUCACUUCCCAGACGGGGUGGUGGCCGGGGUGAAUUUCUCUUUCAAAGGGGUAGCUUAUGCUGUUUUCAUAGCUUCUGUUUCUCAAAAUUACUAGCUCAGAAUAAUCCUUAGGCCAAGGAGGCAUAUUUUGGGGUGGCAUAUUCUGGUCUCCUACAGAUGUAUGCCUGAAAAGAAAAUUAGCAAUUUGGCUCUAGAAGAAUAAACAGUGUUAGCUAAUGAGAUGUCAAAAUGGAACUUGCAAGGUUGCUUCCGUUGGGGGCCACACAGUGUGGCUGUAUUUCUGAGGGGUCAUUCUGAUCCAGAGUUGAUUUGGUCCUUCAUGAUUUAUAGGCCUGGAAACUGGAUAUUAAAAUUCACUGAUAGUUCACUCUAAUCAACUCUGAAGUGUCUU